GUGGACCCGGGAAUCGAACCCAUUACCCUGUCGUUACAUGCACCAUGCUCUACCAACGGCUACAGAGGACCACCAUGAAAUGGUACUCCUUUUAUAUAAUUGUUGAGAGAUUUUCUUAAAGGUUUUAUGAAGUUAGUUGCUGUUCACCGUCCUCACUCUCAUCAGUAGAAGACGGUUGACUUCUCCAGUGGGGGGGAUUUAACCCAGUGUGUUUACACUGCAGUGCUGUCUGCUAGGCCCGGUAGGCUGGACAGACCAGCACUGACCUCUAAUGUUGAUGAGGAGGUGAGUGAUCUCCGUUUCUCCUGGAAGAACCACCACCACAGUUUGUAUCUCAAGGUGACCUUUAACCCCUACCCUUAAAAUGGAUAGUUCAACCAAAUGACAUAUUUAGUUCCCAAUCAUUCUAGUGCAGUCCACGCUUUUGGUUAGUUUACCUAGUCUCCCCUUGUCCAUAGAAUGCUUAUAGGGUAAGGAAACCAAGAUUAUGUUAUUUAGUUUUUUCGAUGAACAAUCCCUUUAACUCUGCAAUCCCUUUUAACUUUAUUUCUGUAAUAUUUGAAGUGCCUAGUUGUUUUAUGUACUGUUGGGGACAUCGUAGAUUUUAAAGACAGUUUUUAUUGGAGAGCUUUUUAUAUAAACUGACGGAUGACAUCGCUGUGAUCAUUUGUAGCGUGCACCAGCAGCUGAUGUUUUCUCAAUGCCCACCAAGCCAAUCACUGUACAGUGUCCAUGAUUUCUCUUCCUGCUUUGGACCCAUACAGAAUGUUUUGUAAUGUGUUUAGAGGACUUGUUUGAGUAGAGGGAUCGGGGAUCCUGAAACGUGACUGGGGGGGGUGGGGUGUUAUUGGAUGGUAUGGGGUCUUUUUUUAAUUAGUUAGCUAUUAUUUGUUUUAGUUGGAUAUCAUAGGGUGUCAUUUGGGACGUACAAUAGUAAUGUAAAGAAAAAUUGGAGAAAAGCCAAUCCACACGUGCUGCUGCAACGUGAUGCCAAGAGGGUACAAAUUAUUGACAGCAUAUUGUCAUAUUAUGAGACAUUUUCUGUCUAGUAUUUUUAAAUGUCCAGAUGUAGUCCGUUUGGCAUUGUGCUGAGCCUUGACUGUGCUGCGCUGAUAGUAAUUUUUUUUUAAAUGUCUAUCUCGCUUGCAACUACUCAUUUGGUUAGUAUUCCUUGAUGAAAUGGUUUGUAACUAUAAUAAAAGUUUAUUUCAAAUUAUA